rnacentral:rRNA from 1 species
UACCUACGGGAGGCAGCAGUGAGGGAUAUUGGUCAAUGGGGGAAACCCUGAACCAGCAACGCCGCGUGAGGGAAGACGGUUUUGGGAUUGUAACCCUGUGUCCUCUGUGAAGAUAAUGACGGUAGCAGAGGAGGAAGCUCCGGCUAACUACGUGCCAGCAGCCGCGGUAAUACGUAGGGAGCGAGCGUUGUCCGGAUUUACUGGGUGUAAAGGGCGGGUAGGCGGGAAUGCAAGUCAGAUGUGAAAAC